GACGAACGCUGGCGGCGUGCUUAACACAUGCAAGUCGAACGAUGAACCCGGAGCUUGCUCCGGUGGAUUAGUGGCGAACGGGUGAGUAACACGUGAGUAACCUGCCCUUGACUCUGGGAUAACUGCGGGAAACUGUAGCUAAUACCGGAUACGACCCUCGGCGGCAUCGCCAGGGGGUGGAAAGAAUUUCGGUCAAGGAUGGACUCGCGGCCUAUCAGCUAGUUGGUGAGGUAACGGCUCACCAAGGCUACGACGGGUAACCGGCCUGAGAGGGCGACCGGUCACACUGGGACUGAGACAUGGCCCAGACUCCUACGGGAGGCAGCAGUGGGGAAUAUUGCGCAAUGGGCGAAAGCCUGACGCAGCGACGCCGCGUGAGGGAUGAAGGUCUUCGGAUCGUAAACCUCUUUCAGUAGGGACGAAGCGAAAGUGACGGUACCUAAAGAAGAAGCACCGGCUAACUACGUGCCAGCCGCCGCCGUAA
rnacentral:rRNA from 1 species